rnacentral:rRNA from 1 species
GAUGAACGCUGGCGGCGUGCCUAAUACAUGCAAGUCGAGCGAACAGAUGAGGAGCUUGCUCCUCUGACGUUAGCGGCGGACGGGUGAGUAACACGUGGAUGACCUACCUAUAAGACUGGGAUAACUUCGGGAAACCGGAGCUAAUACCGGAUAAUAUAUUGAACCGCAUGGUUCAAUAGUGAAAGACGGUUUUGCUGUCACUUAUAGAUGGAUCCGCGCCGCAUUAGCUAGUUGGUAAGGUAACGGCUUACCAAGGCGACGAUGCGUAGCCGACCUGAGAGGGUGAUCGGCCACACUGGAACUGAGACACGGUCCAGACUCCUACGGGAGGCAGCAGUAGGGAAUCUUCCGCAAUGGGCGAAAGCCUGACGGAGCAACGCCGCGUGAGUGAUGAAGGUCUUCGGAUCGUAAAACUCUGUUAUUAGGGAAGAACAAAUGUGUAAGUAACUAUGCACGUCUUGACGGUACCUAAUCAGAAAGCCACGGCUAACUACGUG